UUUUAUCUGGUCUGAAUGACCACAAUAGUAUGCAUUUGAUUUCUUAUUCCAAUCCUUAAUUUGUAUCAGCAUGAGACCGGAGUCGUCAUGUGACCAAACAAGGGGCAUAUUAAUUUUGGGCAGUGCAUAUGCAUAUACACAAUAAAGUUUUAUCCACAUAAUUAAAUUAGUUUGAGUAAUCUUGUAUUUCUAUCCUUAAUUCGUAUCUACAUGGAAAUCGGAGUAACCAUAUGACCGAAUAAGGCCUAAUUUAAUUGGACAAGUUAGAACAUGUAUGUGCAUGAUAUAUAUUUUACUCAGAUAUGAUGAGCGUGGAGGCAGCCAUGAAAUCUCACCUUACCUUGGAUGUCCUUACGUAUGUGUGAAGGAGGGAUGCAGCGAGUGUGCGCAGCUUGCUGAUAUCGGACGGCCGGAGAUGAGCGGUGCGGCCGGCUCCGUAUGUGCCGACGAAGAGCGCUGCAGCCGACAGCGUGCGCGUAUCCGACGAUGAGCAGCACGGCGGCGAU
rnacentral:lncRNA from 1 species